rnacentral:siRNA from 1 species
UUGAUGAGUAAAAUGAGUUA